UCCCAGACUCCUACGGGAGGCAGCAGUGGGGAAUAUUGCACAAUGGGGGGAACCCUGAUGCAGCGACGCCGCGUGGGUGAAGGAGCACCUCGGUGCGUAAAGCCCUAUCGGCAGGGAAGAAGGAGGACGGUACCUGACUAAGAAGCCCCGGCUAACUACGUGCCAGCAGCCGCGGUAAUACGUAGGGGGCAAGCGUUAUCCGGAUUUACUGGGUGUAAAGGGAGCGUAGACGGCAGUGCAAGUCCGGAGUGAAAGCCCGGGGCUCAACCCUGGGACUGCUCUGGAAACUGUAAAGCUGGAGUGCGGGAGGGGCAGGCGGAAUUCCUGGUGUAGCGGUGAAAUGCGUAGAUAUCAGGAGGAACACCGGCGGCGAAGGCGGCCUGCUGGACCGUAACUGACGUUGAGGCUCGAAAGCGUGGGGAGCAAACAGGAUUAGAUACCCGUGUAC
rnacentral:rRNA from 1 species